UACAGAGGUCCCAAGCGUUGUUCGGAUUCAUUGGGCGUAAAGGGUGUGUAGGUGGCGCCGUAAGUCGGGUGUGAAAUCUCGGGGCUUAACUCCGAAACUGCAUUCGAUACUGCGGUGCUUGAGGACUGGAGAGGAGACUGGAAUUCAUGGUGUAGCAGUGAAAUGCGUAGAGAUCAUGAGGAAGACCAGUGGCGAAGGCGGGUCUCUGGGAUGAUGCUGACGCUGAGGCGCGAAAGCCAGGGGAGCAAACGGG
rnacentral:rRNA from 1 species